UGAACGCUGGCGGCGUGCCUAAUACAUGCAAGUCGAGCGAACAGACGAGGAGCUUGCUCCUCUGACGUUAGCGGCGGACGGGUGAGUAACACGUGGAUAACCUACCUAUAAGACUGGGAUAACUUCGGGAAACCGGAGCUAAUACCGGAUAAUAUAUUGAACCGCAUGGUUCAAUAGUGAAAGACGGUUUUGCUGUCACUUAUAGAUGGAUCCGCGCCGCAUUAGCUAGUUGGUAAGGUAACGGCUUACCAAGGCAACGAUGCGUAGCCGACCUGAGAGGGUGAUCGGCCACACUGGAACUGAGACACGGUCCAGACUCCUACGGGAGGCAGCAGUAGGGAAUCUUCCGCAAAGGGCGAAAGUUUGACGGAGCAACGCCGCGUGAGUGAUGAAGGUCUUCGGAUCGUAAAACUCUGUUAUUAGGGAAGAACAAAUGUGUAAGUAACUAUGCACGUCUUGACGGUACCUAAUCAGAAAGCCACGGCUAACUACGUG
rnacentral:rRNA from 1 species